rnacentral:misc_RNA from 1 species
GAUGAAGAACGUAGCGAAAUGCGAUACGUAAUGUGAAUUGCAGAAUUCAGUGAAUCAUCGAAUCUUUGAACGCAUAUUGCGCUCUCUGGUAUUCCGGAGAGCAUGCUUGUUUGAGUAUCAGUAAACACCUCAACUUCCAUAUCUUUUUUGAAAUGGGAGUUGGACUUGAGUGAUCCCAACGCUUUUCCUCACCGAAAAGUGGCGGGUUACUUGAAAUGCAGGUGCAGCUGGAAUUUUCUCUGAGCUAUAAGCAUAUCUAUUUAGUCUGCCUAAAAAACAGAUUAUUACCUUUGCUGCAGCUAACAUAAAGGAGAUUAGUUCUUGUGCUGACUGAUGCAGGAUUCACAAAGACAGGCUUCGGCCGACUUUGUAAACUCGAUCUCAAAUCAAGUAAGACUACCCGCUGAACUUAAGCAUAUCAAUAAGCGGAGGA